UCGAGCGAACGGACGAGAAGCUUGCUUCUCUGAUGUUAGCGGCGGACGGGUGAGUAACACGUGGAUAACCUACCUAUAAGACUGGGAUAACUUCGGGAAACCGGAGCUAAUACCGGAUAAUAUUUUGAACCGCAUGGUUCAAAAGUGAAAGACGGUCUUGCUGUCACUUAUAGAUGGAUCCGCGCUGCAUUAGCUAGUUGGUAAGGUAACGGCUUACCAAGGCAACGAUGCAUAGCCGACCUGAGAGGGUGAUCGGCCACACUGGAACUGAGACACGGUCCAGACUCCUACGGGAGGCAGCAGUAGGGAAUCUUCCGCAAUGGGCGAAAGCCUGACGGAGCAACGCCGCGUGAGUGAUGAAGGUCUUCGGAUCGUAAAACUCUGUUAUUAGGGAAGAACAUAUGUGUAAGUAACUGUGCACAUCUUGACGGUACCUAAUCAGAAAGCCACGGCUAACUACGUGCCAGCAGCCGCGGUAAUACGUANGUGGCAAGCGUUAUCCGGAAUUAUUGGGCGUAAAGCGCGCGUAGGCGGUUUUUUAAGUCUGAUGUGAAAGCCCACGGCUCAUCCGUGGAGGGUCAUUGGAAACUGGAAAACUUGAGUGCAGAAGAGGAAAGUGGAAUUCCAUGUGUAGCGGUGAAAUGCGCAGAGAUAUGGAGGAACACCAGUGGCGAAGGCGACUUUCUGGUCUGUAACUGACGCUGAUGUGCGAAAGCGUGGGGAUCAAACAGGAUUAGAUACCCUGGUAGUCCACGCCGUAAACGAUGAGUGCUAAGUGUUAGGGGGUUUCCGCCCCUUAGUGCUGCAGCUAACGCAUUAAGCACUCCGCCUGGGGAGUACGACCGCAAGGUUGAAACUCAAAGGAAUUGACGGGGACCCGCACAAGCGGUGGAGCAUGUGGUUUAAUUCGAAGCAACGCGAAGAACCUUACCAAAUCUUGACAUCCUUUGACAACUCUAGAGAUAGAGCCUUCCCCUUCGGGGGACAAAGUGACAGGUGGUGCAUGGUUGUCGUCAGCUCGUGUCGUGAGAUGUUGGGUUAAGUCCCGCAACGAGCGCAACCCUUAAGCUUAGUUGCCAUCAUUAAGUUGGGCACUCUAAGUUGACUGCCGGUGACAAACCGGAGGAAGGUGGGGAUGACGUCAAAUCAUCAUGCCCCUUAUGAUUUGGGCUACACACGUGCUACAAUGGACAAUACAAAGGGCAGCGAAACCGCGAGGUCAAGCAAAUCCCAUAAAGUUGUUCUCAGUUCGGAUUGUAGUCUGCAACUUUCGACUACAUGAAGCUGGAAUCGCUAGUAAUCGUAGAUCAGCAUGCUACGGUGAAUACGUUCCCGGGUCU
rnacentral:rRNA from 1 species